GGGAGUAAGCAGUAGUCUGGUGACGCUCGCGGUCUUCAAAACCGUUGGGGGGCGCAUCCCGUCCCCGGUGGGUUCGAUUCCCAUUUACUCCCGCCA
rnacentral:tRNA from 1 species